rnacentral:lncRNA from 1 species
UCUUGAUCUCCUGACCUCGUGAUCCAUCUGCCUUGGCCUCCCAAAGUGCUAGGAUUACAGGCAUAAGCCACUGCACCUGGCCAGAAACAGGUCUUUUUUAAGGAGUCUGUCAGUGAGGGAGUUAACAUAGACUGUAGCUUGGGAAGACAGAGUGGAAAUCUUGGCAGGAGAUAGCCUAGAGCAUCUUAAACUUUAGUGAAGAGAAGAGUGAGAGGAAUAUCACUUUUUCACCCAUCAAAAAUGAGUUCCUUCUUUGUAAAAGACAU